AGAAGAUUGUUGUAGCCAAAUAAUUGCUCUGGCCGAGGCGCUCCUUAGUGAGUUUCUAAGAAGGGGUGGUGCCCUGAAUCAAUCAAAAAGAUUAUUGAUUUAAUUGAAGGAACUAAGACUCUCACAUGAAGGGCUUGAAUCACUAAAAUAUAACGGGGGAUGGAAAAAACAAAGCCACCAAUGAAGUAACCUUUUCCCAGUCAUUUUUGCUCUAUUACUAUAUUUGCUUGAUGUUUCAGUGUCUUUUAUUUAGAACAUUCUAUUUUAUGGAAUUUCUAUAAUAUCCAUGAUAACAUCUGUGUCUUCGGACGAACUAAAUUUUUACCUGAUUUGAUAUGUUCUUUGGUCUCAUUUUUAAUUGAUUAGGUAUGUUCUUUAAGUUUAUUUUCUCAUGGUACAUAGCUUCAUCUUUUUAAUUUAUCAGAUUCUAUUUCCAUCUCCAUGACUUAACAUUGGGCUCAUUUUGUGCAAUCUCUGACAAUUUUUUGACAGAAGAAACUGGGGUUUCGCCUAAUGUACUUUGCAUCUCCAAUUAUGCUCCACUAAGUUUCAGGUAUGUGCUCAAGACAGCAGUAAGUUCUUUUGGAUUUAGGCACUUCCGAGUCAAUUACAUCAGUUUCCCAUUAACAGAAGAGAUAGAAACACAGCAAGGUAGUACUGAUUAUUCCUUUACUAAAUCCAAAAUAAAAAAAGUGUCUUUUUGUCAAGUCAUAUAUCCAUUUUGAUGUUAUAUUGUUUUGGUCAGGAGACAAAUUUGCUACAUGCAUGUAAAACCAAUCUUUCCAUGAGACAUGUAUCUUCAAUUUAGGAAAGACUUUCUAAGAUAUUAACUUAUUGAAAUAGUCCGGGAGCUUUGGAAAAUAUUAGAUAUCUAAGGUGGCACCAUAAAGAUACUUCUGAAAUACAAUUAGAAUGAGAUUACUAAUAGAUCGGUUCUUGCUCUGUUUUUCUACAAUUAGUUCAUUUUUUAAUGGUCUUCUCUCUUACUUGAUUGAUUUGACUGAGCUACAAUGGAAGGAAUGAAUUGGCUGAAAAAUCAUUCGUCAGUCCUACAGCUGUAUCAUAAUGGGUUGGCCUAUCACCUGCUCUAAAUCCAGGGGUUGCAGAACAGUAGUAAUACUUUAAUUUUAUGUUUGUAUAUUUGAUCUUGCAGAUAUUAAAAAUGGAAUCAAGUGCAUUCCUAAGUUUUUUAUCUUCUUUAGUAUUUCGCUUCAUCUUCGCAGGCUACUCAGGGGCGGAUUUCAGCUAAAUUAUCUGCUUUCAAUUCACCCUGCAUCUUCUUCAUUGUUUAGUUUUAGCAAAUCCUUUCUUACUUGGUAGUUUAAUUUAUAACCUUACUUUUCCUUGCCAAAUUCGUUUUGGUAGAUAUAUUAAC